GAUGAACGCUAGCUACAGGCUUAACACAUGCAAGUCGCGGGGCAGCAUGGGGGUUGCUUGCAAUCCCCGAUGGCGACCGGCGCACGGGUGAGUAACGCGUAUCCAACCUGCCCUUCACCACGGGAUAACCCGGCGAAAGUCGGACUAAUACCGUAUGUUGUCCAUUGACGGCAUCCGAUUUGGACGAAAGGUUUGGCGGUGAAGGAUGGGGAUGCGUCCGAUUAGCUGGACGGCGGGGUGACGGCCCACCGUGGCGACGAUCGGUAGGGGUUCUGAGAGGAAGGUCCCCCACACUGGAACUGAGACACGGUCCAGACUCCUACGGGAGGCAGCAGUGAGGAAUAUUGGUCAAUGGGCGUAAGCCUGAACCAGCCAAGUAGCGUGCAGGAGGACGGCCCUAUGGGUUGUAAACUGCUUUUAUGCGGGGAUGAAGUGGCCCACGUGUGGGUUUUUGCAGGUACCGCAUGAAUAAGGACCGGCUAAUUCCGUG
rnacentral:rRNA from 1 species